CAGCAGCCGCGGGAAUACGAAGGGGGCUAGCGUUGCUCGGAAUGACUGGGCGUAAAGGGCGCGUAGGCGGCGGCCAAAGUCAGGCGUGAAAUUCCUGGGCUCAACCUGGGGGCUGCGCUUGAUACUUGGUUGCUUGAGUGGGGAAGAGGGUCGUGGAAUUCCCAGUGUAGAGGUGAAAUUCGUAGAUAUUGGGAAGAACACCGGUGGCGAAGGCGGCGACCUGGUCCUUUACUGACGCUGAGGCGCGAAAGCGUGGGGAGCAAACAGGAUUAGAUACCCCAGUAGUCCCUGUCUCUUAUAC
rnacentral:rRNA from 1 species